rnacentral:rRNA from 1 species
UACGUAGGGUGCAAGCGUUGUCCGGAAUUAUUGGGCGUAAAGAGCUCGUAGGCGGUUUGUCGCGUCGAAAUGUGAAAACCCCGGGGGCUCAACCCCGGGGCCUGCAUUCGAUACGGGGCAGACUAGAGUUCGGUAGGGGAGUCUGGAAUUCCUGGUGUAGCGGUGAAAUGCGCAGAUAUCAGGAGGAACACCGGUGGCGAAGGCGGCAUCCUGGACCGGUAUGACGCUGAGGCGCGAAAGCUAGGGGAGCAAACGGGG